rnacentral:lncRNA from 1 species
ACAACAGAUCUCCCGGACCGGGUGAAGUUGGCUGCUCAGCGGAAGGCAAAUUGCACCAUCUGCGAGCAGAGUCAGAACAAAAGCCCCUUAACUUUUUCGGUCUGGCCCUGGGCUCUGUGGCGCCCGGCACUCCUUCGGUCUCCAUUCUUGGCUGGACCUUGGACAGGAACCUCUGCAGUACGGUGGUGGUGAAGUGUGGCUGCCUCGCAUCCUGACUCAUGUGAGAGCUGCCGAGGAAGAAGCUGCGGUAAACCAUGGGGGAUGUGAAGCUGGUUGCCUCGUCACACAUUUCCAAAACCUCCCUCAGUGUGGAUCCCUCAAGAGUUGACUCCAUGCCCCUGACAGAGGCCCCUGCUUUCAUUUUGCCCCCUCGGAACCUCUGCAUCAAAGAAGGAGCCACCGCCAAGUUCGAAGGGCGGUCCGGGGUUACCCAGAGCCCCAGGUGACAUGGCACAGAAACGGGCAACCCAUCACCAGCG